GCUGUCUGUUGCAGGUCUCUGAAGUCUGCAGACUCUAUCAUUUGUUGAAGUGCAACUUCUAGAAUUGCUGUAUUGGCAAGAGCUGGAGGGCUGCAGGAUGUCUAUCUACACAACAGGCUUUCUCAGUCACUUGAGGGCUAAAACAUUCUGCAAUAGUGGCGGUGGCCUUUGAAGUUGUCUCUCAUCAUCACUACCUCCUGUACAGAUACAAACUUUCAUCUCUCUGAGAUUGUUCUGUCAUUUCUCGCAAUCCAAAGUUUCUACUUGGGUAAAUUAGAGACUUGUGACAGUCAAGAGUGCAGAUGUUGCCCCUUAAAGGAGAAAUCAACUGAUCUUGCAGUCAGCUUACAGAGGACGCAGAAGAUGAACGCGUGGAACUUUGCUGGAAGAAUCUGCAGCGAUGGAUCUCAUCCAUUCGUUGAAAGAUGGAGGUUCCUUGGAUUUCCAGUGUUUUGGGAUAAGUCAUUUGGCUAUUUGAAUUAAAUAAAAGGACAACCUCUCGUUACCUUUCUUAGUGAGCCGCCAAUUGAGCAUGGAGGAGGGAACGCCUGUGUCGCCCAGAGGAAUCGGCAUCGCCCAACAUAGAAUGCACAUAGGCUCGACCCGAACUUCAACCGCACCAUUCAUCUUGAUCAUUGAUCCAGAUCCAUUUGCGAGGAAGCAGUCCACAGUCAUCGCAAGACUCCUCUACCCUCACUGCUCCAGCCACGGAACCACCGACAGACGGCCAUAUCAACACAGUCCAUCAAAAGGCAGAAAAACAAAAGCAGAAAAAACAAAACAAAGACAC